CACGUAGGAGGCAAACGUUAUCCGGAUUUACUGGGCGUAAAGCGCGUGUAGGUGGUUUGGUAAGUAGGGCGUGAAAGCUCCUGGCUCAACUGGGAGAGGACGUUCUAAACUGCCAAGCUUGAGGAUGGUAGAGGGAGGUGGAAUUCCGGGUGUAGCGGUGGAAUGCGCAGAUAUCCGGAGGAACACCAGUGGCGAAGGCGGCCUCCUGGACCACUCCUGACACUCAGACGCGAAAGCUAGGGUAGCAAACGGGAUUAGAGACCCCGGUAGUCCUAGCCCUAAACGAUGUAGACUUGGCGUCGGUGGUUUAAUCGCCAUCGGUGUCGUAGCUAACGCGAUAAGUCUACCGCCUGGGGACUACGGCCGCAAGGUUAAA
rnacentral:rRNA from 1 species